rnacentral:pre_miRNA from 1 species
GGCCCAAAUUUUAAGUUGGGUAGAUUAGGAUGAUCAUCUGACCCUACUAAACUACACUACUUCGAGUUUGUGCCC